rnacentral:rRNA from 1 species
GACGAACGCUGGCGGCGUGCUUAACACAUGCAAGUCGAACGGAAAGGCUCCAGCUUGCUGGAGUACUCGAGUGGCGAACGGGUGAGUAACACGUGGGUAAUCUGCCCUGCACUCUGGGAUAAGCCUGGGAAACUGGGUCUCAUACUGGAUAUGACCUUUCUCCUUAUGGGGUUUGGUGGAAAGUUUUUCGGUGUAGGAUGAGCCCGCGGCCUAUCAGCUUGUUGGUGGGGUGAUGGCCUACCAAGGCGACGACGGGUAGCCGGCCUGAGAGGGUGAUCGGCCACAUUGGGACUGAGAUACGGCCCAGACUCCUACGGGAGGCAGCAGUGGGGAAUAUUGCACAAUGGGCGGAAGCCUGAUGCAGCGACGCCGCGUGAGGGAUGACGGCCUUCGGGUUGUAAACCUCUUUCAGCAGGGACGAAGCGUAAGUGACGGUACCUGCAGAAGAAGCACCGGCUAACUAUGUG